rnacentral:SRP_RNA from 1 species
GCUGGGCGCGGUGGCGCAGGCCUGUAGUCCCAGCUACUCGGGAGGUUGAGACAGGAGGAUCGCUGGAGUUCAGGAGUUCUGGGCUGUAGUGCGCUAUGCCGAUCAGGUGUCUGCACUAAGUUCGGCAUCAAUAUGGUGACCUCCCGGGAGCGGGGGACCAUCAGGUUGCCUAAGGAGGGAUGAACCUGCCCAGGUCGGAAACGGAGCAGGUCAAGUAAUACUCAUAGAACAAUGAUCCCGACCAACUAGGCACUAAUAGCACCUGCCUAAUGUUUUGAGAAAAUGUCUCC